rnacentral:rRNA from 1 species
GAUGAACGCUGGCGGCAUGCCUAAUACAUGCAAGUCGAACGAACGCACGGGAAGCUUUCGUCUCUGAUGUUAGCGGGGGACGGGUGAGUAACACAUGGAUAACCUACCUAUAAGACUGGGGUAAUAUCGGGGAACAGGAUCUAAUACCGGAUAAUAUUUUGAACCGCAUGGUUCAAGAGUGAAAGACGCUCUUGCUGACACUAAUAGAUGGAUCCGCGUUGGAUUAGCUAGUUGGUAAGGUAACGGCUUACCAAGGCAACGAUGCAUAGCCGACCUGAGAGGGUGAUCGGCCACACUGGAACUGAGACACGGUCCAGACUCCUACGGGAGGCAGCAGUAGGGAAUCUUCCGCAAUGGGCGAAAGCCUGACGGAGCAACACCGCGUGAGUGAUGAAGGUCUUCGGAUCGUAAAACUCUGUUAUUAGGAAAGAACAUAUGCGUGUGUAACUGUGCACAUCUUGACGGUACCUAAUGAGAAAGCCCCGGCUAACUACGUG